UCAAAUUUAUUGUUACUUCAUAUAUCUUCAUAAAUGAAAUAAAUCAUCACGACACAAUCAGAUUAGUUUCUUAAUAUUAUGAUAUAGGAUCAGAGAAUGCACUUUUCUUAUGGCCUUAUAAUUAUUAUUAGUCUAUGGGGUGAAACUGCAAAACCAAUACAAGCACUUGUCAUCAAAGAAACCCAAGACGAACACGGAACACCACCUCCAAAGUGGACAUGGAACUUGGGCUCAAAGUCAUGACCAUAUGGGAACUCAGCCAAUCAUGAAAUCUUCAUCCGAUCUGAAGCCAUCCACUAUCCCAAAGCUGAACCGAUCAGUAGGAAUCCGAUCCCGAAGCCAAGACCUUAAGACAUCCGUUAUCAUCGCUCAAACCUGAAGCCCAACUCCUGAAGUCAACGAUACAGAUUAAAAUGUCAAUGUUACAAAUCAACAAAAGAAGAUGGUGUAUUUCUAAUUCUCCACACAUAAUCGUCAGUCAAAAAGCACAAAAAUAUUGAGACCGAAUCAAUGUAAAAUUGUUCGAAGAAGAAACAAAAAGAUCCAAAAAAGGUUCCCCUCUGAGUCACAAAACUAAAAUCUAAGCUCAACUCAAAAAUCAAACCAAUUGAAAACCCACAUAAUACAAAUUUGGGUUGAAACUUACCACUGUAAUUGAUGAGAGUAUGCAUGGUUAAUUGAGAAAGAAAAC
rnacentral:lncRNA from 1 species